rnacentral:rRNA from 1 species
AGUCGAACGGCAGCACGGGAGUAAUCCUGGUGGCGAGUGGCGAACGGGUGAGUAAUAUAUCGGAACGUGCCCAGUCGUGGGGGAUAACGCAGCGAAAGCUGUGCUAAUACCGCAUACGAUCUCUGGAUGAAAGCGGGGGACUUGUAAAAGCCUCGCGCGAUUGGAGCGGCCGAUAUCAGAUUAGCUAGUUGGUGGGGUAAAAGCUCACCAAGGCGACGAUCUGUAGCUGGUCUGAGAGGACGACCAGCCACACUGGAACUGAGACACGGUCCAGACUCCUACGGGAGGCAGCAGUGGGGAAUUUUGGACAAUGGGCGCAAGCCUGAUCCAGCAAUGCCGCGUGCAGGAUGAAGGCCUUCGGGUUGUAAACUGCUUUUGUACGGAACGAAACGGCUCUUUUUAAUACAGAGGGCUAAUGACGGUACCGUAAGAAUAAGCACCGGCUAACUACGUGCCAGCAGCCGCGGUAAU